AUGGAUGUCAACCCUGUGGUGACUUGCUGGAACAUUGACGGUUUGAACUGUCCGACAAAGAGGAAAGCGGUGAGAGAGUUCCUGACUUCGGUGGAGCCUAAUCUUGUGUGUUUGCAGGAAACAAAAUUGGAGGUUGUAGACCAUUUUCUCUUAAUGCAAUGUUGUGGCCCAUCAUUUGAUGGCUUUGCUUACUUGGCGGCUGAUGACACGAGAGGAGGGAUUCUACUUGCUUGGGAUACCACGGUGCUGCAGGUAGAUCGUAUCCAGAGGGAUACUAACUUCCUCACGGGGAUGGUUCACCCUAGAGCUGGUGAGGAUUGGUGGAUUUCGGUGGUUUACGGCCCCCAAGGGAACAUAGCAAAAACACAGUUUCUGGAGGACUUGGCGGCUAGGCGUGCUCUCUGCCCUGGUCCUUGGAUGGUGCUUGGGGACUUUAACAUGAUCUUGCGCGCAAACGAGAAGAGCAACACUAACAUAAACCGCACGAUGAUGAACAAAUUCCAGAGCUUUGUCGAUAGUAGCGAGCUGAAGGAGCUUUAUAUGCAUGGGCGUCGGUUCACCUGGUCGAGUGAAAGAGAAAACCCUACUCUCACUAGAAUUGACAGAGUCUUGGUUUCGGUCGAUUGGGAGCUAGCGUGGCCAGAUUGCCUGCUGCAGGCUCUUUCGACGAGUGUCUCCGAUCACGCGGUCUUGGACAUCACCACCACACUAGUAGAAAAACACCUAAUAGUCCCGGUUCGUAAGGGCCUUUAG
rnacentral:rRNA from 1 species